rnacentral:pre_miRNA from 1 species
UAUAUACUCCCUCCGUCCCAAAAUAAGUGACUCAACUUUGUACUAACUUUGUACUAAAGCUAGUACAAAGUUGAGUCACUUAUUUUGGGACGGAGGGAGUAUUUA